rnacentral:rRNA from 1 species
AACCCAUCCCCGCUUUGUGAAAGAAGCCUUUCGGGUUGUAAAACCCUUUUCAGUUGGGAGGAAGGUAGUGUAGUUAAUAGCUGCAUUAUUUGACGUUAGCGACAGAAGAAGCACCGGCUAACUCCGUGCCAGCAGCCGCGGUAAUACGGAGGGUGCGAGCGUUAAUCGGAAUUACUGGGCGUAAAGCGCAUGCAGGUGGUUAGUUAAGUCAGAUGUGAAAGCCCGGGGCUCAACCUCGGAACUGCAUUUGAAACUGGCUGACUAGAGUACUGUAGAGGGGGGUAGAAUUUCAGGUGUAGCGGUGAAAUGCGUAGAGAUCUGAAGGAAUACCAGUGGCGAAGGCGGCCCCCUGGACAGAUACUGACACUCAGAUGCGAAAGCGUGGGGAGCAAACAGGAUUAGAUACCCUGGUAGUCCACGCCGUAAACGAUGUCUACUUGGAGGUUGUGGCCUUGAGCCGUGGCUUUCGGAGCUAACGCGUUAAGUAGACCGCCUGGGGAGUACGGUCGCAAGAUUAAAACUCAAAUGAAUUGACGGGGGCCCGCACAAGCGGUGGAGCAUGUGGUUUAAUUCGAUGCAACGCGAAGAACCUUACCUACUCUUGACAUCCAGAGAACUUAGCAGAGAUGCUUUGGUGCCUUCGGGAACUCUGAGACAGGUGCUGCAUGGCUGUCGUCAGCUCGUGUUGUGAAAUGUUGGGUUAAGUCCCGCAACGAGCGCAACCCUUAUCCUUGUUUGCCAGCGAGUAAUGUCGGGAACUCCAGGGAGACUGCCGGUGAUAAACCGGAGGAAGGUGGGGACGACGUCAAGUCAUCAUGGCCCUUACGAGUAGGGCUACACACGUGCUACAAUGGCGCAUACAGAGGGCAGCCAACUCGCGAGAGUGAGCGAAUCCCAAAAAGUGCGUCGUAGUCCGGAUUGGAGUCUGCAACUCGACUCCAUGAAGUCGGAAUCGCUAGUAAUCGUAGAUCAGAAUGCUACGGUGAAUACGUUCCCGGGCCUUGUACACACCGCCCGUCACACCAUGGGAGUGGGCUGCAAAAGAAGUGGGUAGUUUAACCUUCGGGAGGACGCUCACCACUUUGUGGUUCAUGACUGGGGUGAAGUCGUAACAAGGUAGCCGU